GUGCUCGCUUCGGCAGCACAUAUAUUAAAAUUGGAACGAUACAGAGAUUACCUUGGCCCCUGUGCAAGGAUCACAAGCAAAUUAGUAAAGUGUACCAUAUUUUU
rfam:Pteropus alecto contig78289, whole genome shotgun sequence.